rnacentral:rRNA from 1 species
UACAGAGGUCCCAAGCGUUGUUCGGAUUCAUUGGGCGUAAAGGGUGCGUAGGCGGCGCGGUAAGUCGGGUGUGAAAUCCCCGGGCUCAACCUGGGAACUGCAUUUGUGACUGCAUCGCUGGAGUGCGGCAGAGGGGGAUGGAAUUCCGCGUGUAGCAGUGAAAUGCGUAGAUAUGCGGAGGAACACCGAUGGCGAAGGCAAUCCCCUGGGCCUGCACUGACGCUCAUGCACGAAAGCGUGGGGAGCAAACAGG